GAAGAGGGGAACGCCCGGUCGCGGGUGGGGCGGGGAGCCGCGGCACGUGACCCCUGGCGCGCCCAGGCUUGCGGGGCGGGGCACCGCGCACGCGUGGUGCUAGAGCUAGGCGCCAAGUCCUGUCUCCCACCGGCCGCCAAGUCCAGUGAAGUCUGAUUGUGUCUCAGAGGCAAUGAAGAAUGAAGCCAACAGACAAGAGUAUAGAGCAACCAAUAAAGCUUUUAAUGAAGAUUGAAAGAAAAGCGUUCCUGCUGAUCAGUGACAGUGAGGCCUGCUGGUGGGAGAAGCCUGGCUCCAGUUUGGGACAUCUGAAGACAUGCAGCUGUGCAAAGAUGAAAGUAUUGCAUAAUAACAGCACAGUGCACCUGCUCAGAGUGAAUUGUUAUUAGUCCAUAGCAAUGUGAAUUAAUUGAAAUAUGGAGUAUGCUCUUGUUAGUUGAUAAAACUUGGGCCUUUCAGGGAAGCUCUGUCCUGCCUAUGAAACCAUUCCUGGGGAUGCUCAGGGAAGACAAGUAAAAACUGCCAGGAAAAGGCUAAGAGAAAUUAAGUGUAGGAAUUCUGCCUUGGAGGCUAAGGGAUAAUUUAAGUUUAUCUGAUGUUGAGAGACUUACUGAAGUGUAAUUUCAUGCUGUGAAGAUAAGCAACAGCUCCAUCUAAUUGGGAACCUCAGCAUCAUUGGAUUUCCUGUUCCUCUUCAAUCUGCUUGAAUCCUUUGCUGUUAAUGAAGCCACAUUUUACAGAGAUCUUUGGAAGUGUGAAAAUAAUGUUGUUCACCACCUUCUAUGUAUUUUGACUUAUUACCAUUAAAAGUCUCUUCUGUAACCAAAA